CCUACGGGUGGCAGCAGUGAGGAAUAUUGGUCAAUGGACGAGAGUCUGAACCAGCCAAGUAGCGUGAAGGAUGACUGCCCUAUGGGUUGUAAACUUCUUUUAUAAAGGAAUAAAACGAGGCACGUGUGCCUUUUUGCAUGUACUUUAUGAAUAAGGAUCGGCUAACUCCGUGCCAGCAGCCGCGGUAAUACGGAGGAUCCGAGCGUUAUCCGGAUUUAUUGGGUUUAAAGGGAGCGUAGAUGGGUUGUUAAGUCAGUUGUGAAAGUUUGCGGCUCAACCGUAAAAUUGCAAUUGAUACUGGCAGUCUUGAGUACAGUUGAGGUUGGCGGAAUUCGUGGUGUAGCGGUGAAAUGCUUAGAUAUCACGAAGAACCCCGAUUGCGAAGGCAGCUUACCAAACUGUGACUGACAUUGAUGCUCGAAAGUGUGGGUAUCAAACAGGAUUAGAUACCCCAGUAGUC
rnacentral:rRNA from 1 species